rnacentral:sRNA from 1 species
AGAAAGGAAGGAAGGAAAGAAGGAAGGAAGGAAGGAAAGAAGGAAAGGAAGGAAAGGAAGGAAGGUAGGUAGAUAUUUGCAGCCUUGCAUCUGUGGAUUAGUCUUAUCUGUCCAAACUGUCCGGAGAAGCAGAAAAAGUCCGUUUUUCCAUUCAGUUUUAGCAGUCAUUUUCUGAGGGUAAAGCCAUCCUGUCUUUCUAAAACCUAGUUUUGCAGCUUGCACAGCCUUUUCCCAUCAGGAUUAAGCUCACCACAGAGCCCUUUAAGCUGCUAGUCAUGUCUUAAGAACACAAAGGCGUAUGUCCACCCAGAAUGCCACAUCCACCGCAGCUUCACAAUUUGUUUAAAUCACUCCAAAUCACUGGACAAGCAAGGACAUGCACCUGUGUCCCAGCGUGCAGGGGAGCGCUUCGGGGCUGAGCAGAGCAGGCUGUUCACCCUCUUGAGUGUUUCCGUUUUCUCAGGGGGUGUUGAAAUAUUGCUCUUGCGACUGCAAAGGAAAAAAAAAACUGUAGAAUAAACAGCUCCCAUGUGUCCUGCUUCAGAUCCGUGUUGGCAUGUGCCUCUGGGGCCACUCCAGGGUUCAUCUGGAGUAGGUUCCCCGUUUGCAAGCUGGAUAUGCGAAGUACUUCUGCUCUCACUCCACCUGGCUACACCAUAAGGAGUUAAAAGCUUUUUCUCCCCACACAGGGAAGCAGUACCCCAGCAAGCCAAGAUCCAAACGAGAAGAAACACUGUGUUACGUUUGAUGUGAGGAGCAAGAGUCUUACAUUGUGCCUUAAGCUGGUUCAGAAUAUCUUCAUGGGCAGAUAUUUUGUAGGCAGAUACCUGUCUCCGCGGCACAACUGGAUUCGACAGAAUAUCAAAAUGUCUGGAUUUGCGAUAAUAACCUUUGGAAACAUUACUCCGCGGCAGAGGCCAUGUUGUUCACAUUCCACAAAGGAUGAUCUUUUUGUAAAGCUUUUUUGCAGAGGAGAGCCUUGGGCCUCUUCCAAGGCCUUUCGUUUGGCUGGCACAUACAGAUGGCAUGCACAAAUGAGAACUGUGUACUGUUCAAGUAUAAAGGGAUCUAGAAGAGAUAUUAAGUGGAAUUUUUAGGGUAAUGUUCUACAUAGCCCCAGGUUUCCCCAGGGCAUCCUGAGACCCAUGACCUCCCUCUGACCAAAGAAAUUCUACUACUAUCAAGUUUGAAUAAUGGAUAUUUUUUUGGGUCAUGGCAAAGUGACCAGCCAUGCCCACGACACUUUCUGUUGUGACUUCUGCCACACCACAGCAAUGGAGCCCACGGGCAGAAGCUCCUGAAACUGACCCAAUAGAAACCUUCCCACUCAUGUUUAUCUAAGGGAUUUCGUUUGGACGAUGAAAAAUUAAUCCAGCUGUAAAUUGCAUAGUCAACUAAACCUGGCAUAUAUAGGCAGACUGCCUUUCAAUUCCUGUAGAAUUUAUGUUCCUACCGGAGUUCUUUGUUCAUUUCACUUUUAUUAAAUUUACUUUUUAAUCUUUAAUUUUUUCCAGUUAUGCACGACUUACUGUUUUGCAAGUCUUUAUUCGCAGAUUUGACUGUUGUGUAAAUGUUACUCCUGUGUGUACGUUCCUUAUGCUCUAUGUGUGUUGUGUAAACGGCCGGUGUCUUGGUUAGGGCUAAUGUUGCUAAGAUGAAGCACCGUGACCAAAGGCAAGUUGGGGAGGAGAGGACUGGUUUGGCUUACACUUUAAUUCACUACUCACCAUUGAAGGAAGUCAGGGCAGGAACCUGGAGGCAGGAACUGAGGUAGGGGCAUGGAGGGGUGCUGCUUACUGCCUUACUCUUUAUGGCCUGCUCUUAGAGAACGCAGAAUCAUCAGCUCAGGGGUGGCACCAUUCUUCCUCAUCAACUGCUAAUGAAGAAAAUGUCCUACAGGCUUGCUUACAGCCUGAUAUUAAAGAGGCAUUUUCUCAAUUGAGGGGCUCACCCCUCUGAUGACUCUAGCUUGUGUCGAGCUGAUAUAAAGUCAGCCAGUGCGGGAUUUUUAUAUUAUUAUAUAUUUUUUUUAUAAAAAUGUCUCUGAUUAUUGAUUUAUGGCUUCUCUAUUAUUUUAUUGAAUAUUGAAGUAUUGAAGACUGAACCUAGGACUUUGGCCAUGCUAAAUAUAUUCUCUACCACUUAGCUAUACCACAGAUCCUAUGUCAUUUUAAAUAUAAAUUACCUUUAUAUCUAUAAUAAAUAAUCAGUCAAUAAUCAAUAAUAAAUCUCCUUAACUUGGUGUACAUAGAUCCCACCACCUACUUGACUUUCCAAGUGGAUGCACCUAUGUUUCCCACAGCCAUUCUUUAUACCUCAGGCCUCAGAGGAGAGAUCAUUUGUCCUCACUAUGUCCUGUUGGGUUUCCAGAUUGUCUGUCUGAACCCAUAAGCACUGUUUGCGAUGCACUACCAAGUAAACAGAGCGCUCUUGGACUCAAUGCAGCAAACGAGGGACCCUCAAUUAGCUUCAAGACCUUCCUCAUAUCAAUUAAGUUUACUGGUUUUAAAUAUCCCUAUUUGCAACAUGCGGACAGUGUCAUCUACGCUUUCAAAUCAAUAGGUGCUGGCGAGAAGCCAGUGAGGAGGGCGAAUGGGAAGGAGGUGUAAAGAUGUGGGCAGCUUCUGAAUCGAUUACGAACGUUUCUCCUAUGACCAACCAGAAGUAACCAUUAUCCUCAGCAGAGCUGGCCCCGCUUUCCAGGAAAGGUGAGCCUGGCCCCCUGGGACAUAGGCCGUAUCUCCGACACCUGAAAAGAUCCCUCUGCUUUUGACAAACGACUAAACUUUCUUCUGCGAAAGGCGAGGUCUGUGUGGCUCCAUUCAGACCCGAGGAGGUCCAGACAUCUCAGGUGCAACUAAGCAGAACUUGGAACUGCUUCAGAGAUUCUAGAUGACCUUUGUUGAAGUGUUUUUCUCCGCAUUAAAACUAUAAAAACUACGUGGAGACCUCCUCACCCUGUCGUACUUCGGGGCAAGCUGAAACAACAGCUACAAUGGUUUAAAUCUGUAACGUGGGGUGCUGAAGCUCACCUGGACUAAUGAAGCUAAGUUUACCCAUUCGCACGCAGCCCAAGAGGAUCAGCUGGCUAAGGCAAAUGCCUGGCCUUCCAAAGAGGACUGAGAGAUGGGGCCCGGGCCUUGGUCCUAGUUCCACUCUCCCCCCUCCCCCAAAUCUAAGAAAAAGUGUUAAUACAGAUAAUAUAAAGACUCACCCUCUGAAUUUCUUGUCUAAGAUUUAUGUUCCA